rnacentral:rRNA from 1 species
AACGAACGCUGGCGGCGCGCCUAAUACAUGCAAGUCGAGCGAGAAGACGUAGCAAUACGUUUGUAAAGCGGCGAACGGGUGAGGAAUACAUGGGUAACCUACCCUCGAGUGGGAAUAACUAGCCGAAAGGUUAGCUAAUACCGCGUACGCUCCUUGGACUUCGGUUCAGGGAGGAAAGCGAUACCGUGGGUAUCGCGCUCUUGGAUGGGCUCAUGUCCUAUCAGCUUGUUGGUAGAGGAACGGCUCACCAAGGCUUCGACGGGUAGCUGGUCUGAGAGGACGAUCAGCCACACUGGCACUGCGACACGGGCCAGACUCCUACGGGAGGCAGCAGUAAGGAAUAUUGCGCAAUGGGCGAAAGCCUGACGCAGCGACGCCGCGUGGGGGAGUGAAGGUCUUCGGAUUGUAAACCCCUUUCGGGAGGGAAGAUGGAACGAGCAAUCGUUCGGACGGUACCUCCAGAAGCAGCCACGGCUAACUUCGUGCC